rnacentral:rRNA from 1 species
AUUGAACGCUGGCGGCAGGCCUAACACAUGCAAGUCGAGCGAGCGGCGGACGGGUGAGUAAUGUAUGGGGACUGCCUGAUAGAGGGGGAUAACUACUGGAAACGGUAGCUAAUACCGCAUACUAUCGGAUAACCCAUAUGGGAUUAGCUAGUAGGUGAGGUAAUGGCUCACCUAGGCGACGAUCCCUAGCUGGUCUGAUAGGAUGAUCAACCACUCUGGGACUGAGACACGGCCAAGACUCCUACGGAGGCAGCAGUGGGGAAUAUUGCACAAUGGGCGUAAGCCUUAUUCAGCCAUGCCGUGGGUAUGAAGAAGGCCCUAGGGUUGUAAAGUACUUUCAGUGGGGAGGCGUUACCGACAGAAGAAGCACCGGCUAACUCCGUGCCAGCCGCCGCGGUAAUAC